ACACACACACACACACACACACACAUGGAGGGACAGACAUACACACAUACAUGGUUAGAGGAAUCACAGUUUUAUAAUACAACAAAAAAUACAGAAGAAAAUAUAAUAAUUAGUAAAAAUAGAGACACGUAAUUACAUAGAGAGAGAGAGAGAGAGAGAGAGAGAGAGAGAGAGAGAGAGAGAGAGAGAGAGAGAGAGAGAGAGAGAGAGAACAUGCUUGCUGAGACGUACAAAUAAAAUUACACACGCGUUUUGUUUUUUAAGUAAUUACAAAGAUAAUAUUUAGGUGUGUUCGUACCAAAUGUUAUCGGCGAGUGGUGGUGAGAGAGAGAGAGAGAGAGAGAGAGAGAGAGAGAGAGAGAGAGAGAGAGAGAGAGAGAGAGAGAGAGAGAGAGAGUAGCAGAGUUGAAAGGAGAUAGGGAGGAAGAGGAAGAGGAAGAACAAUAAGGCAGGAAGACUAACCAUAGAUCAGGAAGUGGGGAGAGAGAGAGAGAGAGAGAGAGAGAGAGAGAGAGAGAGAGAGAGAGAGAGAGAGAGAGAGAGAGAGAGAGAGAUUGAUUAUGACGAGCAAAGUACAUAAUGAUUAACAGACAGGGAAAGACACAGACACACUAGUACGUACAAAAUCAAACAGAAAGAGAGGCAGGAAUUUGAGAAUCAUGAAUAGGAUGUUGAAUAAAAUAAAGAACACUGUACACUGGGACAGGCAGACAGACAGACAGACAGACAGACAGAGAGAGAGAGAGACAGAGAAUAAAACAAAGCUGCAGCAGAGAAAGAGACAGACUACCGUACACUCCCUCAAUGAGACAGUCUGGGGAACAGUGAGGCAGGACGAGAUAUUGAGACAGACAGACAGACAGAACAGAACAGAACAGAGCAGAACAGGACUUCAAACGACUUAUUUACGUAGAGGAGGUGAAAAAGGAGGAAGAGAAGGAGGAGGAGGAGGAGGAGGAGGAGGAGGAGGAGGAGGAGGAGGAG